AGGCCAUUAUGACAACAAUGCCUCUGUUUCCUCCAGAUUCUUGGCUGUCACUAUCCUGACCUACCACCUGUGUCACAUCCCAUUAGGUUCUGUGGAUGAGGCAUGGUGCUUGGCACAGACUGACACAAGUUUGGGCAAACUUGGCAGAGCAGCCUAACCCAAAGCGAAAAACAGAAAUGAACCAAGAUACAACCUCUGUGGAAAACCCUACUGAACAAAAGCAACUCUGUGGAGUGUCCUCUCAGCUGCAAAUUGAGACAGAAUUGUGGGGCAAGCUUGGCCACUGAUGCAGUUUUGUCAUUUCAAGAACAUUGUAUAUAUGGAGUUAUAUAUGGACUCACACAGAUUCUGCAGCUUGCUACACAGAAAGCCAGAGACCGAGAGCCAAUGACUGAGACUAUGAGUAUUGCCAAGGAAGAAGGCUUUAAUUGGGUGCUGCAGCUGAAAAGAUGAGAGCUCAGCCUCAAAUCCAUCUCCCUGACCAACUAAAGCUAAGGAUUUAUAUAGCAGGGAAGAAGACAGGAACUAGGAAGGGGCAAGGAAGCGAUCCUGAUGAAUGAAGGGUCAGGCAUUUCAUUGUCUGGAUGUGGCGAUCUGCUCACACUGGUCACACCUGGGACUUCCAACAUGAAUGCUUUUGUCACGGAUGCUGCGCUGCUGCUGUUUCUGGUUCUUACUCUGCUUACACCAAGGAGACUGAUGUCCCUGCUAUAACCCCACUUCCGAUGCAGACAGCAAUUCCAAUGCAUUGCAGCUUUCAGGAUUUUCUCACUGUGUUUUUGCCUCUCCUUUUCUUUAAGACAUGAGCAUUUGUCUACGGGGAUGGCCUGAAGUGUAGUCUCCAUUACCCAGAGUCAUCUCACUCUCUGACCUUGACUCAUGAUCUGAGAACAAGUGCUCCCCUGCUUGUCUUCCUGAGGGGCAUCUGUCCCUCUUGCAAACAGAUUUCCUUUGGGCUCUGUCAUUUAGAAAUGCCCUUAUUUAUCUGAAUUAUAGUUCCAGUUCAGAACAUUUACAAAGGAACAGAUUGCUCCCAAUUUUAAAGCAGGUAAAUUCUAAAAGUUGGCAAGCCAGUCAUUUAGAAUUUGAGCCUCAUAUUCCAUAGGUAUGAAAUUAUACAUAAUGAAAAAGUUCCCAGGGCAGCCCACAAAAAGCCUACUUAUCCAAAAUAAAGCUAACCUGAGUUAAUUCA
rnacentral:misc_RNA from 1 species